rnacentral:rRNA from 1 species
UACGGAAUGUGCAAACGUUAUUCGGAAUCACUGGGCUUAAAGAGUCCGUAGGCGGCUUGUUAGGUGAGGUGUGAAAUCCCUCGGCCCAACCGAGGAAUUGCGCUUCAAACCGGCAAGCUAGAGGAGGAUAGAGGUGGGCGGAACUGAUGGUGGAGCGGUGAAAUGCGUUGAUAUCAUCAGGAACACCGGAGGCGAAGGCGGUCCACUGGGUCCUUUCUGACGCUGAGGGACGAAAGCUAGGGGAGCGAACAGG